GCGGGCGAGGUGGAGCAUCGGUCUUCUAAACCGACGGUCGCGGGUUCGAAUCCUGCCGGGCGCGCCA
rnacentral:tRNA from 1 species